GAAAGAAAAAUGAAAGUUACUGAAAAUAAAAAACUUUAUUGCAGUACCUACAUACACUUUCUACAUCUAAUUUUGUUUAUUGAUCACAUUCAUUUACUUGAAAAAGUAUCAGGCCUAUGAAUCGUCGUCUGGAAACAGCUAACCACACACCAACCUUCAUUGCGUGUGAUGGUGUUUCUUCAAAAGCAUGAAACCAGGCUUCAUCAGAAAAGAACGACAAAUCGAGAAUCCCGUUAUCGUCCAUAUCAGCUUGAAACCAACUACAAUACCCAACGCGGCAAGGAAAAUCAGCUGGUUGCAGCUCCUGAACCAACAAAAUCUUGUAUGGAUGCAUAUGUAACUUCUCUUUUACGAUUUUCUGACAUGGGCUGUAUGGUACUCCGGACAGUAAAGAUUUUUGACAAA